CUGGCAUAACUACUAUAGAUUAUGGUGCUACGAGACUGAAAAGGCGUGACUAACUGUGUAUAUUACCAUUAGAAAUUACUGAUUAUACCUUUUUCCCAUGGAAAUUCAUUCCUUCUGUUGUACAUGGGCCUCCUUUUCGGUGACAAAACAGACAGAAGUCGAUGAGUGUAAAUAUCACUCUUAUCUGGGCUAUUAUACAAAUGUUAGUGGCUCAGGUUGGAUUUGUAUUGAUCUUGCAUUGUUUUUGGCUUUUAAGACAAGUCCUGACAUUUCAUGGCAUUAUUGUUAAAAGAGAUUAAAAAGAAGAAAAACUCGCGCUCUGAGACGAAGUAAGCCAGACUAGCAACACCGGAAUAGAAAAGCAAAACAGCAGAAAAAACAUGCUAAGUUCACUCUAACGAACCAAUGGCUUGCUCGAGCAAAAAAGAACUGGAAGGACAACUCAGCUGACUUGAUUUCCGCUGCAGCUAAAACCACUUAACUCAAGCAAAGGAUUCUAAUUCAGAAACGACACACAACAGCUAUUGCAAGUUUUUGAAGGGCAUUUUUGAAUAUUCAACAUGUAGGAAUUCAUAUAUAAUAGGUUUGGCUCUAAUUCAAUUUAAAUAUUGAAUAUAAUUUGAAUUAUUUAAGAAGUAGAGUAGACACUCCAAAUAGAGAAAUAACCAAAUGUGUAUUGUGUAGUUCUUUAGCGCGUGAUUUAUUGGGUUAUUGCGCCAUUUAAUUAUUUAAGUUUGUACAGAAGGGGCAAAUUGUUUUUUCUAUUGCCUUUUUGCUAGAUAUCAUCUUAGAUAUUGACUUAAUUUCCCCCAGCAAGAAGUAACAAAUCUUUGGUUUUCAUAGCUCUUAUUAUGAAUGAUGGAGGUUUAAACAAGUAGAAUAGUUUCUUUGAAUUGUUGUUGGGUAUUUUAGUAGUGAUGCGCAAAUAACCCCUAGGCAAUGAUGAAAAAUCGAGGUCCAUUUGUCUUCUUAGGCUAUAAGCCUAGAAUUGAAGAAUAUUAUAAGUCCACACCACAAUUGAUGUAAUCCAAUUGUGUUGGAUAUUUAGAGGAAAUCAGCCCAUUGGACUAAGUGCUCAAUACCCAACUUUAGAGAUAAUUUGAAAAUACGUGAGAUGGUUGCAAUGGUUAUAAUUCCCUUAUCCUGGGUAACCAAUUUCAGUGUUCUUGAAGUCUAUCUAGCCAACCCUUUCUGGGAAAUCUUGUUUUCCUUUGCCUAUAAAUUGAAGUCUCUUGGCCUCACUUUCUACACACCAAAACCGGCCUUUGCUUUGUACAUUUCUGAAACCUAGUUUCUGCCUUUGUGUGCUUCUCCCUGUGAUUGCAAGUCUCCAAUUGGUGUUGCCUUUGAGGUGUUGGAUUGAUUUUCUGAGCCGAGUUAAAAAGGGGAAAUUCAUUGUUCUUCAUUCUUCAAAUUUAGUUUUGAUUUGUCCCCCCUUUUUAUGUUAAUUCCAUAACUCACAUUUUGAUUUGUUCAAUUGUAGGUGGAAUUAGCAUCAACAGUUCAGAUUACCUCAUUUGGAUAGGAAAAAUCGGAGAUAUUUAUGUGAAGAACCAGAUAUUGUGUUGAUUGAACCAAGUGAAGAAACACAUGCACAUAGUUUGAAAGAUUGUAUGCUUGAAAGAUUGAAAGUAACAACUAUUCCUCCAAAAGGGUCUUUGACAGACGAACAACCUUUCAAGUGUUAUUCUUUCGAUGAAUAUGGAUUAUUGGUUAA